CAAGAUCAGAUCAGGAUCGUUUGUUUUUCUUGCGUGCGAUGCCUAUCGAUGAGGUCUAGCCGUCUAGGGCAGUUCUUGACGAGCGCCAACCCUAAAAAAAUGUUCUUGACCAGCGGCGUUUCAAUCUGAGCCUGAGCCGACGAUCCUUGCGCGCAAGAGGGCGUGUGUGUGCUGAUGAGGGCCGAGGGCCAUCCUUGCAUGAACGCGCGGCCGGCCGGCCGGCCGCGACCACAUUGAGAAGCGGCGAGCAAGGAAAAGGGGGUUAAGGUUAGUCUCGUUAGUUAUUCUAUAUCAGAUUAAUCCAUGCCUUCAGAACCUCACAAUUCGAACUGUGGUUACUAUAUAAGAAUGAAAGAUUAAUUAGGGAAUAUAUCCCUUUACCGGUUUACCCAUAGGACAAGGUUUUGCAUUGUUUAUCACAUCAUGUACGGAAAGAUUUAGGUUAAUUAACACAUGAGUUGAUUUUGCAUUUUCUUUAUGAUAAAUUUUGAGAAAAAAAUUGAAAUUGAUCACAGAAGACACAUGUUCUGAUGAAGAUUUAGGCUGUCUCCCUCACAAAAAAAAACGUAGACUGUCUCCGUGUGUUUCUUUACGAGUCUCUACAUUAGAGGCAAAAUUUUGCCCGCCCCCCCUAUGUUUGAAUCCUGGCUCCGUCCUUGCUGGCUCCCGACAUGCUCCAAAAAUCAAGGUUCCUUCGAAUCGACCCACCCCAUGUUGGCGCCUUGAGCUCGACGGAGUAGUUGGGAGUGCGCUGCUCAGAGGGGAUGCUGCAGUACUUGGCCGUCAUGUGUCCCACAACACCACAGCAUAAGCAAAAGUUAGGCAAUUUCUCAUAUUUGACCUUGAAACUGAUUUCCUCAGCGGAUCAUCCACCUUGUGAAUGACUCGGACACGGAGAUGCUCGUUGACGAUCUGCUUGUUUUGAUGCGACACCGCGACCACCUCCCCCAGCUGGACACCAAGGAUCCUGCCUGUGGCCUCGAUCUUGAUCGCCACCGGAAGGCCGUGGACUUGCACCCAGACCAUGAACGAGUCUAGGCGAACAUCAGCGGCGUUGCUCAUUCCGUCGAACUCCGCGAUCAACACGGCGUUGUUCCUGAAGUGCCACGGUCCAGCCCGAAGCACAUGCUUCAGGUCUCCCUCCACGGAGAAGGUGAUGACGAAGCUGAAAGGAUCGACAUAGUUGACUAGAGGGGGGGGUGUGAAUAGGCAACUAACAAUUUUUAGCUUUUCUUUACCAAAUUAAACUUUGCAUCAAAAUAGGUUGUCUAGAUAUGCAACUAAGUGAGCAACCUAUAUGAUGCAAUGACAACAAGCACGCAAGCAAAUAAGAGAUAUAACACGAGUAAACUUGCGAAAGUAGAGGAACGAGAUAACCAAGAGUGGAGCCGGUGAAGACGAGGAUGUGUUACCGAAGUUCCUUCCUUUUGAGGGGAAGUACGUCUCCGUUGGAGUGGUGUGGAGGCACAAUGCUCCCCAAGAAGCCACUAGGGCCACCGUAUUCUCCUCACGCCCUCACAUAAUGCGAGAUGCCGUGAUUCCACUAUUGGUGCCCUUGAAGGCGGCAACCGGACCUUUACAAACAAGGUUGGGGCAAUCUCCACAACUUAAUUGGAGGCUCCCAACGACACCACAAAGCUUCACCACAAUGGACUAUGGCUCCGCGGUGACCUCAACCGUCUAGGGUGCUCAAACACCCAAGAGUAACAAGAUCCGCUAGGGAUAAGUGGGGGGAAUCAAAUUUCUCUUGGUGGAAGUGUAGAUCGGGGCCUUCUCAACCAAUCCCGAGCAAAUCAACAAGUUUGAUUGGCUAGGGAGAGAGAUCGGGCGAAACUGGAGCUUGGAGCAACAAUGGAGCUUUUGGGGGAAGAGGUAGGUCAACUUUGGGGAAGAAGACCUCCUUAUAUAGUGGGGGGAACAAUCCAACCGUUACCCCCCACACCAAUCCCCCUCGCGGUACUGCCGCUGGGCCCAGAGCGGUACUACCGCGGUGGUCAGGGCGGUACUACCGCAUACGAGCGGUACUACGGCCCCCACUGCCGCGGCUAGUACCGUAAAACCCGACACGAAAAAAGACCCCGCGAAUCGAGGCGGUACUAGCACGAGACCGCAGCGGUACUACGGCUGGGGGCUACCAGCGGUACUACCGCUCCGGCCCGCGGUACUACCGCUGGGACCAGAGAGGGCACACUAAGAAGGGGAACGAGCCCAUCAUAGAAGCGGAAAGGCUCGGAGGGGGGCAAAGGAAGUGUACGUGAUGAUUCCGCCCUAGCCUUUCCAAAGCGGACCCCGUUUUGAUAGUACGGUGAUCCCUAUGAGACUAGUCCACCAAACUAAUUCGAAAGGACUACACCGUCUUCGCUUCAAGCUCCGACGGGAGGGAAUCGUCUCGUGCCAAAAGGAUGAAUCUCUGAAAACACUCAAUGCACACGAUUAGUUCGCAAAAGCAUUGUCAUCAAUCACCAAAAUAUCUUAGGGAUAAAUAUGCCCUUAUAAUCUCCCCCUUUUUGGUGGAUUGAUGACAAUACGGGAUUUGCACAAACGGGAAAGGACAAAGGACAUAAGCAAACCCCAAAUCUCUAAAAUAUAGACGGGCUCCACCUAGAUGUGUGCCAUCAAGAUAAGUGCUUUGGACUGCACAACACACAUACUAGGAUCAACACUCCCCCUGUAUUUUAGAGACCAACAACCUAAGCGAGAUACAAGAGAGCAGGAUAUAUAACAUAAUAAGCAUGCAACUCAUGAGAUACCAAAUGACUAGAGACAUAGAUAAAGAUAUGAUAAGGAUAAGGUAGCAUAUGUCUCACACCAUAUGACUGGAACUAAGGUCUCACUGAACACAAAACCAAACAAAGCACAAGGUAGCAAACACAACGAAAGCACAAAGACAAAGACACACUCGCAACACAACGACGCAAAUCCCUAAACUCUCCCCCCCUUUGGCAUCGAGACACCAAAAGGGGCAAAGAGCUAACCUACGGCUCCAGGUGAGAGCAUGCUGAGGAUCUCGAACAUCAGGACUCUACGUGAUCAUCUGCACUGCCAUCCUCGGCCGGAAACUGCUCGGCAUCUGAAUCGGUCCACGGACAGUGCUGCUGGAUCCACUCCUCCUCCUCAGUGAUCUGACCCUCAGAGCCGCUGGUGACUGUCGCACCCAACUGACGCAUAAGCUCCUUGUGACGUCCCUUUGCCUUCUUCUCAGCCACAUGAGUCAUGUACUGACCGUGAGACUCCAUGCAGAACAACUUCUUCAUCUUGUGUUUGAGCUUCUUUGCCCAAGAGGGCUCUGCCGCAGAAGGCUCUGUCCCAGAAGGCACAUAAUCCUCAUUGUCAUCAGCCUCGCCCUCGGUUUCCAUGGCAGCAGCAAAAGAUGGAACUCCAGAUCUAGGAACGGAUGUGCCCCAAUUAUCCUUCUUCCUCAGACGCUUGAUCUCAUGAGAAACCAACUCUCCAGUUUCCAGCUGCUCCUCGGGAUAGGUACGUCUCCAGGCCUUCUCAAUGAGCAACAUAAUGAACGGACCAUAAAUCGGGCACUUGCGUUCAGAAAUAGCAGCAAGAAGUUCAGACCACAUAACAUGAGAGAUGUCCAGGGACUCGCCAGUGUUUGCGUCCUUCUCACGCUGGCAGAAGAGAAGCGUGUCCACGAGAUAAGAGUGUACCAUGUCCAGAUUCCCGAUACGAGGGAAGAGAGUCUCGCGGAAGAUACGGUGAAGGAUGUCCAGAAAGGCAGACAACUCAUAGGUUUCCUUCCUGGUCUCAGGGUUGACCUUCCGAGUACAGUAGGGCCAGAGGGCUUGCUUGUGAGUGGAGGUAACAUUGCGGUGAGGACGAAAUCCGACUGGAGUCUCGAGCCCUUGAUCUUCCACCUCAAGCAACUCCAUGAAGGCCUUCCACUUGACAGCUAGCAACUUCCCAUUAGUCAUCCAAGUCAGAGUCCUGUCUUCAUCAGUUCCUAGGUGGACAGUGGCAAAGAACCGAGCCAGCAAAUCUGCAUCAAAGUCCUUGUUGAACUGCAUGAUCCCGAGAAUGUUCAACUGAGAGCACAUCUGAAGGGCAUCACCAAAGUACUCAGGGUCCUUCUCCAUAGCAUCCAUGUUGAUGGUAUGAACAUUGACAAAGAGGUUCUUCUUAGCCUUGAUCACGUCAAAGUAGGUGGCAUACUGAAACCGGUUCCAGAACGGGCGAUUGACAAGGUUGGAUUCUUGGUCUUCCUCAUAUGGGUUGCGGCGACGCCUGUCCCAGAAUUCCUUGCUAGUCAUCUCAGUCACCUUCUUGCCACUUGGCUUCGGCCUGUUGGCAGUCUUCUUCUUGAGAGGAGGAUUAGCACUUGAGGAAGCACCCACUGGCGGCGGUGGAGCACUGGAAGAACCACCUGCAGCCUCAGAUGAGCGGUACCGCUUUGACGUUGAACGCCCGGGGUUGACACGGCGGACUUGCUGCUCAGGAUGUUCAUCACCUGGAACCAAACACACGGACACACGAAACAACCAGAAGGAACGAUCAAAACCAAAUAAACACAACAAAUAUCGAUCAACAUGUGGUAGGAAACUAUGGAACUGGGCAUCCGGCGGUAGUACCGUGCCUGCACAGCGGCAGUACCGUGCCUCCACAGCGGCAGUACCGCUCCAGCGGUAGUACCGCGCCAGAUGGGCGGUAGUACCGCCCGAGACGGGGCACGGAGGAUCCCUACUGCCGUGGUCAGAUCCGGCACUACCGGGGAUGCCAAAUUCAAAAAUAAACCUACCAAACAUCAAUCCAAAGAGUCUAGUUGCCUUCUCCAACCUACUCAAGCCUAGAUUUGGCCAAAAAUCUAGAGAUGCAACCACUAUUGCCCCUAAAACGCGAGAUCUGAAAACUAGACAAGAAGAGAAGAGGAACGGGGGCAAUACUGGCAUCCAUGGCAAGAGGACGAGGUGGGGAUCGACUCCACCGAAGGAAAUGGAGAGGACGGUCCGGAGACGGAGGGCCGCCGGAGCCCUCCCGCGGCGAGAUGGCGCUGGAGAGAGAGGAAGAGGAACGAGGGGACGAAGCAAAUGGGUAUGGGGGGAGGAAACCACCCCUGCCCACGACUUAACCCCCUGGCCCCGCCCCUCAGCGGUAGUACCGUGGUGAUGGGCGGUAGUACCGCUCCAGCGGUAGUACCGCGCCUUCACAACGGUAGUACCGCCCAGCGCAACUCAAAACAAGACUCAACACCUAUGGCACAAAAAGAAAAGAAGGGAAACGACGGCAAGAAGAGAAAACCAACACAAAGCAACAAGAGCACCAGCAAGAGAACAAGAACCACACACCUCUACACGAGAGGGCGGUGGCCGAGGCCACCUAUGUUUGAGUCAAUUGGUAUGGCACCGCGAAGAAUUAUCCUUGGGCCAUGACCAAAACUCGUCUUUGAAGCACAAGUACCAUCAAAAAUGGCUAAUGUGAAAGAGUGAGAUUAGUUUAUGCAUUAUGGGGGGAGGAAGAGUUCAUUGAGAGAACAACACUCCCCCUAAGUCCAUGCCUACACCUAGACAAGAAUGCAUGAUGAAUGUGAGGGGUGUGCAAAGUUCAAACCACAUUGCUCGAAUCAAUGAUAUUUAGCUCAUGCCUUAACUCGCGAAAUCUUGCUUCAUCCAAUGGCUUCGUGAAAAUAUCUGCAAGGUUAUCAUGAGUGUUGACAUAGUUGAGCUCGAUCUCCCCUCGCCUAAUAUGAUCCCGGAUGAAGUGAUACCGAAUCUCAAUAUGCUUCGUCUUGAAGUGUUGCACCGGGUUGAGAGAAAUCUUGAUGGCACUUUCAUUGUCACACCAAAGAGGCACUUUGUCACAAAUGACACCGUAAUCCUUUAAAGUUUGCCUCAUCCAUAAGAGUCGUGCACAACAACUCCCGGCCGCCACAUACUCCGCUUCGGUGGACGAGAGAGACACACAACUUUGCUUUUUAGAGGACCAACUUACCAAAGAGCAACCAAGAAAUUGGCACCCUCCGGAAGUGGACUUCCUAUCCACUUUGUCUCCCGCCCAAUCAGAGUCCGAAUAACCUACAAGCUUGAAGUUUGCUCCUCUUGGGUACCAUAAGCCAAAGUUUGGGGUAUGAGCCAAAUAUCGAAAGAUUCGCUUGACCGCCACAAAGUGGCUUUCCUUAGGUGCGGCUUGAAACCGUGCACAAAUUCCCACACUCAACAUGAUAUCCAGUCUAGAUGCACAAAGGUAAAGCAAGGAUCCAAUCAUGGAGCGAUAUACCUUUUGAUCCACCGCUUUACCAUUGGGAUCAAUGUCAAGUUGGCACUUGAUGGGCAUUGGAGUGGAAGCCGGCUUGACAUCACUUAGCUUGAAUCUCUUUAGCAUGUCUUGAGUGUAUUUGGCUUGGUUGAUGAAGGUUCCUUCUCUUCUUUGUUUGAUUUCAAAUCCGAGAAAGAACUUCAACUCUCCCAUCAUAGACAUCUUGAACUUUGAGGUCAUGAGAGCGGCAAAUUCUUCAUUGAAGGCUUUGUUAGGGGAACCAAAAAUAAUAUCAUCAACAUAUAGUUGGCACACAAACAACUCCCCUUUGACCUUCUUAGUAAAAAGAGUGGGGUCGAUUUUCCCGAUUUCGAAUCCACGAUCUUGUAACAACUCCGUAAGAUGUUCAUACCACGCACAUGGGGCUUGUUUAAGGCCAUAGAGCGCCUUGUGGAGUUGAUACACAUGAUCGGGGAAAUAGGGAUCUUCGAACCCGGGGGGUUGUUUGACAUAGACCAACUCAUUUAUGGGACCAUUAAGAAAAGCACUCUUCACAUCCAUUUGUUGCAACGUGAAAUUAUGAUGAGAAGCAUAAGAAAUCAACAAACGAAUAGAUUCAAGGCGAGCGACGGGGGCAAAGGUUUCACCGUAGUCGAUACCCUCGAUUUGGGAGUAGCCUUGUGCCACCAAACGAGCCUUGUUGCGAACAAUGAUUCCAUGAGCGUCUUGCUUGUUCUUGAAUAUCCACUUGGUUCCAAUGACAUUAUGAUUCCCGGUUGGCCUUGGCACUAAUUUCCACACUUGGUUAUGUUCGAAGUUGUUGAGUUCUUCAUGCAUGGCAUUGAGCCAAUCCGGGUCCUUGAGCGCUUCAUAAACCUUUUGGGGUUCGACACAAGAAACAAACGCAUGAUGUUCACAAUAGUUUGCUAAUUGUCUACGAGUGCUUACCCCCUUUCUUAGGCUUCCAACCACAUUCUCCAUGAGAUGACCUUUGGUGGUGAGCUUGGAAGCGAUCUUAGCGGCACGACGCUCCAAUUCCUCCUCGGAAGUGAAGUGAGGAGGGGUUACUUGAUAAUCUUGAGUGUCGUCUUGAGCUUGUUCUUGAUCUUGAACUUGCUCGAGGGGAGGAACUUGACCUUGGGCAUCAUUUGGUGGAUCACCACCAUCUUGAGGUUGAUCUUACCCUUGAUCUUGUUCAUGAGGUUGAGGGCCUUCACUUUGUUCUUCGGAAGAGUGUGGGUCUUGGGUUGGUGAUGGCUCCACUUGAGUGGAGCAUUGUCCUUCUCCUUCGGCCACAAGGGGUUCCUCAAUGGGUAGGAUAUAUCCAACACCCAUUCUUCUUAUGGCUUGGGGAGGAAUUUCAUCACCUACAUCACAAGUACCACUUUGCUCCACUUGGGAACCGUUAUUCUCAUCAAACUCCACGUUACACGUCUCCUCAAUAAGUCCCGUGGACUUAUUGAGAACAUGGUAAGCAUGGGAGUUUGUAGCAUAACCAACAAAUAUGCCCUCAUGAGCUCUAGUCUCAAAUUUAGACAAACGAACACCUUUCUUGAGAAUGAAACACUUACACCCGAACACCCGAAAGUACUUGAGGUUGGGCUUGUUACCGGUGAGUAUCUCAUAUGGAGUCUUGUUCAACCCUUUGCGGAGAUAGAGCCGAUUUGAAGCAUGACACGCGGUGUUGAUGGCUUCGGCCCAAAAGUUGUAUGGAGAUUUGAACUCCGCCAUCAUGGUCCUUGCCGCAUCCAUCAACGUCCGGUUCUUCCUCUCCGCAACACCAUUUUGUUGAGGGGUGUAAGGUGCGGAAUAUUGAUGCUUGAUCCCCUCAUCACUAAUAAACUCAUCCAAGGUGUAGUUCUUGAACUCGGUGCCGUUGUCACUUCUUAUAGUCAAGAUCUUUGCAUUGUGUUGACGUUGGGCUUCAUUUGCAAAGUCAAUGACUGUUUGUUGGGUCUCACUCUUCCUCUUGAAAAAAUACACCCAAGUGUAUCUAGAAUAGUCAUCCACAAUUACCAAGCAAUACUUUCUACCCCCAAGACUAUCAAAGGAUGGAGGCCCAAAGAGAUCCAAAUGAAGGAGCUCCAAAGGCCUCUUCGAGUAAAUGAGAGUCGUGGGAGGGUGAGCCUUCUCAUGAAGCUUUCCUUUGAUACAAGCACUGCAAGCACGAUCUUUAGCAAAACUAACGUUCGUUAGUCCACGGACAUGGUCCCCCUUGAGAAGACUUUGCAAAGAUCUCAUAUUGACAUGGGCUAAACGGCGAUGCCAAAGCCAUCCCACGUCAACUUUAGCCAUUAGGCAUGUCGCGGUCUUAGUGGGUCGCUCCGAAAAGUUAAUCACAUAGAGACCGUUCUCGACAUGCCCAACAAAGGCUACUUUAAGAAUCUUGCUCCACAAGAGGGCCACGGUAUCAAUAUCAAAGAAAGUGGCAAAGCCCAUGGUAGCAAGUUGACGAACGGAAAGUAAAUUGUAUGCAAGGGACUCAACUAGCAUGACCUUCUCGAUCGUGAGAUCAUGAGAAAUGACAACUUUGCCGAGUCCCAAUACCUUAGAAGACGAGGCAUCACCCCACUCGACAUUGGUGGGCAUAGAUGGAAUCUUGUGCACGUCCACCACCAAGUCCUUGCUUCCGGUCGUAUGAUUUUUAGCUCCACUAUCGAGCAACCAUGAUCCCCCACCGGAAGCAAACACCUACAAGAGAUCAAUGCUUGGUUUUAGGUACCCAUUUUGUAAUGGGUCCUUUGAUGUUAGUAACAAGGGUCUUAGGAACCCAAAUGGACCAUUCAAUAUACUCAUGAGGAGAACCAACAAAUUUGGCAUAAACAUGCCCAUCACUUGCACGACAUAACACAUAAGAAGGAUUAAAAUCGCCGGCUUUGUUGGAUGGGGUGGAAUUACCCUUCUUGACACCGUCACCCUUCGCAUUGUUCUUCUUCUCCUUGGAAGUACCCUCUCCCUCCUUCACAAAAGUUUGCUUGAGAGGGGGAGGUCGUUUGGUCUUGUCAUUCUUCUUCUUGUUCUUGGGCUUGGGUGCAAACCCAAUCCCCUCCUUGGCCAGAACUUCCUUUUGGUUUCUCAAAAGGUCGUUGAGGUUCUUCUCACCUUGUAUGCAUGACACAAGGCCUUUCUCAAGUUGCUCCUUCAACUUAGCAUUCUCCUCAACAAGAUGCACAUGCUCACAACAAGAGUUAGUAGCAUUUGCAUUAUCAAUUAACACCAUAUGAGGAAAGGUGGCUUUCUCCUUAGUUAGCUUUACUUGGAGUUGAUCAUGAGACUCCUUGAGGCUAGCAUGAGCACCCUUCAAGACUUUGUGAGCCUUGUCGAGAAUGUCAAACUCCUCUUUAAGUCUAGCAAGAUCAACCCCAAACUUUGCCUUCUCGGAGUUUAGCACACGAGACACAACAAGAGCAUGAUCAAGAUCUUUCUUUAACUUAGCAUGAUCAUCGUUGUAUGACUCCUCAAGAGCCAAACGAAGACCACGCUCUUCGUCAAGAGCAUUGGAAAGAUCCGAAAUCUCAUCGGCAUAGUCACGACUAUGCCCCUCCAUCUUAGAGAUGGUAUCUUCGUGAGCCUCGAUCAUGUCAUUGGCUUCACCAACUUGUUCCAAGAGAGCAACGAAGUGCUUCUUGGAUUUACCCUUGAGUUUACCCAUAAAGAUCUCAAACUCAUUUUCCUCCACAUUUGUCCCCUCAUGUUCAUCAAUGCUAUCCGUCGAAGAAGGAUGAUUAAUGAUGGUAGUUUUGAUGUUGGAGGUUACCUUAUUGGUGGCUUUAGCCAUGAGGCACUUGGCGGUGAUGUUCUCAUUGGGUGAGUCGAAGAGAGACACCCGUGGAGUCUUCGCAAUGGCAACGGAGGCCAUGGCAACCGACUCACCAUCUUCAUCAUCGUCAUCAUCCUCAUUGUACUCUUCUUGUACCACCAACGCCUUGGGAGGAGUCUUCUUGGUGAAGUUGCUCUUGUUUGGGAACGACUUGGCCUUGUCUUUUCUAAUGAGCUUGCCACCAUUGUCUUCCCUCUUCUCGUAAGGGCACUCCGCAACAAAGUGGCUCACAUUGCCACAAUUGAAGCAAGUCCUCGCCCGUUGCUUGCCCUUUGCGCCACUUGAAUUGCUCUUGUUGAAGUUUGGCCUUGUGUUCUUCUUGCUCCAAAAUUGCCUUGAAGCAAGAGCCAUGUGUUCAUGAUAGGCAUACUUCGUAUCUUCGAGGUUGCCCUCCUCUUCUUCCUCUUCAUCCUCUUCCUCCAUACUAACCUUGGCCUUUAGAGCAUGGUUGGGCUUAUUUACUCUUUGAGAACGAAGAACCGCAUUGUCGGCGGUCUUGUCCAAGAUGCUCAUAGCAACAAAUUCAUCCAACACUUCACUUGAUGACAAGGUGUGGAAGUCCGGCCUUUGACGAAUUACGGAGGACAUGGCUUUGUGGUAGGGCAUCAUUGCCUUGAGGAAUUUGCGCUUGAUCCAAUUGUCAUCCGUGUCCUUACUUCCAUGAUCUCGGAGAGAGACCGCGAGUUUGGUUACUCUCCGAAAAAGCUCGCGAGGUUCUUCAUCUUCUUUCAUUGCAAACUCGUCGGCUUCAUCUUGCACCACUUUAUAGUUGGAGCAUUGAAUGCUUGCGCUUCCGCGAUAGAGGGAAACAACUUGGAGCCAAGCAUCUUUGGCCACAGUGUAAGGCCGGAGAUGAGGAAGAUCUUCGGGUGGGAUUGCUUCUUGGAUGAUGAAGAGAGCAUUCUCAUUGAAUUGAUGAUCCACAACUUCUCUAGGAGUGAAGUUACUUCGGUCAUGCGGAUAAAAACCCUCUUCAAUUAUUCUCCAAAGGUUAGUGUUCACAUGAUUUAAAUGACGCUUAAAACGAUAUUCCCAAGAAUCAAAAUCUACAUUCUUCUCAAUCUUAGGGGCCGGGCCGGCAUGAUUCAAAUGAGUGGAAGGGAGCGGUCCACCAUAGACAGGUGGAGGUUCCACAUGGGCAAAGAUGCCGGUCCCAUUUUUAUCACUAGAAAAAGGAGCUUUCUCGCUAGAAGCUUCCCCCUUCUCGGAGGUAGCAUCCGUCACCUUGUUAGCGGGAUCACCCACUUUCAACGGUGCGGUGGUAACUUUAAGCCCUUCUAAGAAUUUAUUCAACAUGCUUUUGACCUUGGUCGUCAUGGAGGUUUUCAAUGUGUCUAACGCCACAUUGAAUUCCUCACGAGAGACCGCGGUUCCCCCAUCUCCCGUAGACGAGACUAGAUUCUCACCGGAGUGCUCCUCCACACCGUCUACGACGUCAACCAAACUCUUUGGACGGUAAAGUCCUUCAUAAAGAGACGAGGCUCUGAUACCAAUUGAAAGGAUCGAUAUAGUUGACUAGAGGGGGGGUGAAUAGGCAACUAACAAUUUUUAGCUUUUCUUUACCAAAUUAAACUUUGCAUCAAAAUAGGUUGUCUAGAUAUGCAACUAAGUGAGCAACCUAUAUGAUGCAAUGACAACAAGCACGCAAGCAAAUAAGAGAUAUAACACGAGUAAACUUGCGAAAGUAGAGGAACGAGAUAACCAAGAGUGGAGCCGGUGAAGACGAGGAUGUGUUACCGAAGUUCCUUCCUUUUGAGGGGAAGUACGUCUCCGUUGGAGUGGUGUGGAGGCACAAUGCUCCCCAAGAAGCCACUAGGGCCACCGUAUUCUCCUCACGCCCUCACAUAAUGCGAGAUGCCGUGAUUCCACUAUUGGUGCCCUUGAAGGCGGCAACCGGACCUUUACAAACAAGGUUGGGGCAAUCUCCACAACUUAAUUGGAGGCUCCCAACGACACCACAAAGCUUCACCACAAUGGACUAUGGCUCCGCGGUGACCUCAACCGUCUAGGGUGCUCAAACACCCAAGAGUAACAAGAUCCGCUAGGGAUAAGUGGGGGGAAUCAAAUUUCUCUUGGUGGAAGUGUAGAUCGGGGCCUUCUCAACCAAUCCCGAGCAAAUCAACAAGUUUGAUUGGCUAGGGAGAGAGAUCGGGCGAAACUGGAGCUUGGAGCAACAAUGGAGCUUUUGGGGGAAGAGGUAGGUCAACUUUGGGGAAGAAGACCUCCUUAUAUAGUGGGGGGAACAAUCCAACCGUUACCCCCCACACCAAUCCCCCUCGCGGUACUGCCGCUGGGCCCAGAGCGGCACUACCGCGGUGGUCAGGGCGGUACUACCGCAUACGAGCGGUACUACGGCCCCCACUGCCGCGGCCAGUACCGUAAAACCCGACACGAAAAAAGAGCCCUCGAUUCGAGGCGGUACUAGCACGAGACCACCGCGGUACUACGGCUUGGGGCUACCAGCGGUACUACCGCUCCCAGAGCGGUACUACCGCUUGUAGCACCCAAGCGGUACUACCGCUCCGUCCCGCGGUACCACCGCUGGGACCAGAGAGAGCACACAGCUGGGGGCUACCAGCGGUACUAGUGCUCUGGAGCGGUACUACCGCUCCAGAGCGGUACUACCGCUUGUAGCACCCAAGCGGUACUACCGCUGCGGCCCGCGGUACUACCGCUGGGACCAGAGAGAGCACACUGAGAAGAGAAACGAGCCCAUCAUCGAAACGGAAAGGCUCGGAGGGAGGGGCAAAGGAAGUGUACGUGAUGAUUCCACCCUAGCCUUUCCAAAACGGACCCCCUCUUGAUAGUACGGUGAUCCCUAUGAAACUAGUCCACCAAACUAAUUCGAAAGGACUACACCGUCUUCGCUUCAAGCUCCGAGGGGAGGGAAUCGUCUCGUGCCAAAAGGAUGAAUCUCUGAAAAACACUCAAUGCACAUGAUUAGUCCAUAAAAGCAUUGUCAUCAAUCACCAAAACAUCUUAGGGAUAAAUAUGCCCUUACAAUGUAAGUGUUGGUUCCAACAUUACAUUCUAAUCCUUACAUCCCUGGAGCAACACACACACACACACACACACACACACACAGAGACGCACACACAAACACACAAACACACACAAGAAGAGAGAGAGAGAGAGAGAGAGAUAAGGAUGGUCGGAGGGCCGGUGGACCGUCAAAGGGAGCUAAGGAUGGCAAUUUUACCCAUGGGUACGGGUACCCGCGUGUACCGUACCCGCAUGGGCAGGGUAUGGGCACACUUUUAUACCCAUGGGUAGUACCCAUACCCUACCCAUUAAGUCAUGGGUAGGGUACGGGUAUAACCUUGUAUCCGCGGGUAUACCCAUACCCUGCCCGUUUGUGAACUAAUGUUAAGUUGUCGUUAGUUAGUCAUUAAUUUGUCAAGUGACGCGUCUACUCCUAUUGAAUUAAGAGUAUGUUGUGGUUUCUAAAUUUUGAUAUAUGUCAUUUACUCAUCUGCCAGUUAUUGAGCUGAGAUAAUUGAUUUUUUUUAAAUGUGCUAUCAAUGAGCAUAAAAUUGUGAACAACUUGUGUACUAUUUGUUCUACCCGUUGGGUACCCAAUGGGUAUGGGUAUGGGUAAAGUUUCAUACCCAUGGGUACGGGUAUGGGUAGAAUUUUGUACCCACUGACUAUACGGGUAUGGGUAUGGUAUUGCUCUACCCUACCCAUUGCCAUCCUUAAAGGGAGCUGUUCGACCAGGGUGGUGCGCAGAGGGGGUAUAAUGUUAGAGUUAUAAAAGGUGCCCAUUCCAAUAAAGAGAGUUCACACAUACGAUGUGCAAGGUUUGCGCAAUGGAAAAUAAAAGUUCCCGUGUCAUUAUGAUGAUACAAGGAUACUAGGCCACCGUGUGGGGUAUAAGUUUCAUGUUUCAUUUACAAUGUUUGUUCAUAAUUGUUGUGUCCUCUUAUGCCAACUCUGCAAAUGUUGGUGCCAACAUUACAUUCUAAUCUAUCUCUCCCAGAUCUGGCCGCCGGCUCCUUGGGGGCGCGGGGCUCCCUUCCGUUCAUGCUGGUGGCCCCGGGAUGGGCUCCCCUUCGGUGGCAGAUGUUGGCUCCAGCUGGGGCUCUUUCGUGCUUCAGGCUGGUCGGCAUGGGGAGGGAGCUCGUGGUGGUUUGCAGUGGCCGUCGGCGUGCUCGUGGCACAGCUGUCGGCGUCUGACGGCGGGGUGCGGGGUGAUGGAGGCUGCGUCCUUCUCCUUGGUUUGGAUCGACGAUGCGCGGGGCUGGGCGGGUGCCGGAGGUGUCGGCCGCACGCGUAACGAGGAAGGUUCAGAUCUAGGGUUCAUGCUCGGGCGGGCGGGAUCAGGGCCCGGGGCAGAUCGGAGCAUGUGCUUUGGGUAGGAGAGGUUGGGCUUGGCCCGGGAUGUGCUCGCGGGUCUCCUUGCAGGUAUGGUGCUCAAUGGUGAUGGCCGUGUUAGCAUUGUGUCACGGAUCGGUGCAAGUGACCACGGGCAUGGCGUCAUGUGAGCUCGCUUGCCCAAGGGCUGGGGCUGGCUCGCCGUCGGCCGUCGGCAGUCUUGGAGUCGUGUCCCACCCAGUCCACUAGGAUUGGCUAGGAAUGCAGGUGUUGGUGCCUCCUACGGUGGAGGCGCCGACCCAGACUCCUGAACUGAUGCCGGGCUAGGAGUAGAUGGUGUGUCAUCUCUCUUCCUACCGUGGUUGAGUGCGUUGUGAUGUGUGCGGCGCACGCUAUCUCGCGACAGGGAUGCCGGGGCGGUGGCCCCGGAUGGCGGUGCACAUGGUUGCUCUUCGGCGGGCAUCAUUGUGGUGGUGGUGGCUCCCCUCCUGCGUUGUGUGGGCAAUUGGAGGUGUUGCGAUGGGUAGCCCAGACGUGCCCUCUUUGUCGAAGGGCGGCGUCCUGAUCCGGAUCUGGGGAUCUGACGCCGUCGCGUUUCUCAUGGUGGCACCGGUGAGUUGCCGAGCGAAAGCUCCGUGCCUUGGCGCCGACGGCGGCGACACUCGUGGGUGUCGCGCUCUUCUUGAAGACGUCGUUGUGGUUCUUUUCUCCGUGUCAGGGCUCGAAAUGAAGAUCUUUGUCCGUAUGGACUCGGCAACGGGCUCUGCGCCUUUCUCCCUCUUGGGGGCGUUGUCGUGGAGGUUAGGUGUGCCAUGUCGUAGUGUGGGGUGUGUUUAGUUCUCUCGGUGCUCUUUGCACUGGUAGCAUAGUCGCAUGCGUUGGCCGUGAACUUCUUCGGAUAUUGCUUUAUCUAUAAAGCGGGACGAAAGACUAUUUCAAGAGACCAUCGACUAACAAGCUAGGGCCAUUGUACCUGCCAGUGAGGGCAAGGGUAAACGGUCGUAAAAUGGAUCUUUCAAAAAAAAUCGUACAGCAAGAGGAGGGGUAGCUGGCGGGGAGGAUGGGGAGGAGGGGCGAGGUUGACUGGUCGUGUGGAGAGAGAGCCUGCCAGUGUUCAAUGAAUCAUGGGCACGCAGCCACAAGCGCUGGCAUAACAGCAGGAUGCACAGUUGCAAAGUGUGCAAACCUGUCUCAAAGAAGAAAUGUGAAGCAUCAAUAAUAUGCUCCCACAGAGCUGAACCAUUCUAUUCUCAUACUUCGAGCGUGUUGACCAAGUCUGGGGCCAAGAGUCACGGGAGUAGUUGUGGUCACGGGAGUAACUCUAUAUAUGUGGUGGGUUGGGAGGCUGGUUUUCCAGUUCACUAAAAAUGACAAAAUAAUGGGUACACCCGGUUUUACAUUAUAUCUUCUGGCUGCAAAAUACUACUAAACAACGGUUAUUUUACAAUACGAGGCGUUUUACAUUAUUUGUUAUCUGCUAGAGUUACUCUAUGCCCAUAUAAACUAUGGUCCUUUAAAGUAGGCUGCAUGGUUUUUUAAUUGUUUGGAUUAUUUACCCAUGUGUGGCCUCGCUAGCACAGGACCACUAGAUUGACCAUAAAUUAGAAGACUGUCUGUGAAGACCAUAUAUUAGGCAUGAGUCAAGCUUGGAGCUGAAUUUGAGACCAACGCCGGUGCCCAUUCUAGAAACCUGCUAGUUGCAGAACGCCAUGAGUACUGUUGCAUGGAAAGUGGGAUCAUUGUUUGAGAUAUUUGACUAUUCAAUUGUUCAUGGAAAGAACUUUGCUCUGCCGAGGUGAAGGCCUAGAGACAGCAUCGAGCUAUGCUCACGGCGACGAGGAUGAAUGCAGGAGGAAGAAGAGUUUGGCAUCCCAAAAAUUUGAAUGUAAUUUUAUUUUUUUGGUAUGUGUGUGUUUGUAAGGACUUGUGAUGCUUAAAUACAAAAAUGCCUUAUGGCCUUACGCAAAUAAAAAGUAGCAUGCAAAUCAUACCAACUAGCCUUUUUGUACAAGCCACAAUGUGUUGUAUUUUUGUUAUCAGUUUUUGCAUAUGCACAUAAUAUAGCAUUACUUACAUGUAUGAAUUAUUUCAAUUGGUGAAUAGAGAUAAAUGCAGUGAGUUUGGGCGUAAAAUGUUGAAGCCGUAAGGUGAUAUCCUCUCGUCAUCAGUCAUGCGCCGAACAACAACAGAGAAUUGGAGGCUCUGGAAGUGGUCGCGCGAAAGCUGAACACCAGAUGGGUAAGUACUCUUGAGCAAAACCAAGCUACAAUGCUAGCGUUUGACCUGCAAGCUUGUGUGCGUGCUAGCCCACAAAGUGUUUCUUUCUCGUUGUAUCAUCUGAGCUAAAAUCCAACGAGCCCUUUCGUCUUGGCAGUACAAAAAAAAAUUCAGAAUAUGUGUUCUGUUCUAGAACACACUAAAGCAGAAGGCAGUACAUGAGGCAAAUGCUGUAUGUUUUGCGCUCAGCUAACAUUAAAAUUUAGCCUCCAUAGAAGCUGGAGACCCUAUUAAUUGUUCCAAG
rnacentral:lncRNA from 1 species